rnacentral:rRNA from 1 species
CACCAGCGCCACGAGUGGCGUUCACGAUUAUUGGGCCUAAAGCGUCCGUAGUCUGGUUAGUGCAUCUUCUGUGAAAUCGCUGCGCUUAACGUAGCGGCAUGCGGAAGACACGGCUGACCUUGAGACCGGGAGGCGUCGAGGGUAUUCCGGGGGGACCGGUAAAAUGGUAUAAUCCCCGGAGGACCACCUGUGGCGAAGGCGCUCGACGAGAACGGAUCUGACGAUGAGGGACGAAAGCCAGGGGAGCAAACCGG